UGAUAGUUGCUGCUGGUUCUCUAGGGAGCAUGUGCACGCUUGUCAUCUUUAUAUCUCUCCACCUGUGCACCUUUUGUAGGCCUGGAUAUCUUUCUGAAUGCCCCCUGGCAUUUAGGUUUUGAGGAUUGACUUUUGUCUUUUCCUUACAUUUUCAGGCCUAUGUUUCUUCAUAUACCCCCAAUGUAUGUUAUAGAAUGUAAUAAAUGGGCCUUUGUGCCUUUAAAUCUAUACAACUUUCAGCAACGGAUCUCUUGGCUCUCGCAUCGAUGAAGAACGCAGCGAAAUGCGAUAAGUAAUGUGAAUUGCAGAAUUCAGUGAAUCAUCGAAUCUUUGAACGCACCUUGCGCUCCUUGGUAUUCCGAGGAGCAUGCCUGUUUGAGUGUCAUUAAUAUAUCAACUUCCUCAAGUUUUUGCUUGUUGAGUGUUGGAUGUGGGGGGUAUUUUUUUGGCCUUGGGUUCCCUUCCUUUUCCUGAAGGUCAAGCUCCCCUGGAAAUGCAUUAGCGGAACAAUUUGUUUGACCGUUCAUUGGUGUGAUAACUAUCUACGCCUAGUUGACGUGAAGCCAGGUUCAAGCUUUGCUAACAAGUCCCAUAUUGACGUUGGACAA
rnacentral:rRNA from 1 species